GAAUUCAACUCCUACGGGAGGCAGCAGUGGGGAAUUUUGGACAAUGGGGGCAACCCUGAUCCAGCAAUGCCGCGUGCGGGAAGAAGGCCUUCGGGUUGUAAACCGCUUUUAGUCGGAAAGAAAAGGCACGUCCUAAUACGACGUGUUCUUGACGGUACCUGAAGAAUAAGCACCGGCUAACUACGUGCCAGCAGCCGCGGUAAUACGUAGGGUGCAAGCGUUAAUUGGAAUUACUGGGCGUAAAGCGUGCGCAGGCGGUUGUGUAAGUCAGAUGUGAAAUCCCCGGGCUCAACCUGGGAAUUGCAUUGGAGACUGCACGGCUAGAGUGUGGCAGAGGGGGGUAGAAUUCCACGUGUAGCAGUGAAAUGCGUAGAUAUGUGGAGGAAUACCGAUGGCGAAGGCAGCCCCCUGGGAUAACACUGACGCUCAUGCACGAAAGCGUGGGGAGCAAACAGGAUUAGAAACCCCGGUAGUCCAGGCGUU
rnacentral:rRNA from 1 species